rnacentral:rRNA from 1 species
AUUGAACGCUGGCGGCAGGCUUAACACAUGCAAGUCGAGCGGAGAGAGGUAGCUUGCUACUGAUCUUAGCGGCGGACGGGUGAGUAAUGCUUAGGAAUCUGCCUAUUAGUGGGGGACAACAUUUCGAAAGGAAUGCUAAUACCGCAUACGUCCUACGGGAGAAAGCGGGGGAUCUUCGGACCUUGCGCUAAUAGAUGAGCCUAAGUCGGAUUAGCUAGUUGGUGGGGUAAAGGCCUACCAAGGCGACGAUCUGUAGCGGGUCUGAGAGGAUGGUCCGCCACACUGGGACUGAGACACGGCCCAGACUCCUACGGGAGGCAGCAGUGGGGAAUAUUGGACAAUGGGCGGAAGCCUGAUCCAGCCAUGCCGCGUGUGUGAAGAAGGCCUUAUGGUUGUAAAGCACUUUAAGCGAGGAGGAGGCUACUUUAGUUAAUACCUAGAGAUAGUGGACGUUACUCGCAGAAUAAGCACCGGCUAACUCUGUGCCAGCAGCCGCCGUAAUAC